rnacentral:lncRNA from 1 species
AAAUUAAUAUUAAAUCUAUUUCUAUACAUCAUUUUAGUGCUGCAGAUAGAUUUAGGAGGCAAUCUUCGAAAGUAGUAUCAAAUACAUAGAAAUCAAUCAUAAAAAUCUUAAAAUUAUUUUCUCCUAUAUUAGCAACAUCUCAUCCGACAGUUUCUUUAUGUGCUUUUAGAACACCUACAAAUUGGGCUUCCUGAUUAGGGAUCACUGGUAGAAUGUCAGUGGGUGU